GUAGAAAUACCUAGCCUUGUCUUGUCUGCUAUUUUUGAGAUGUUUUGGUGCAUUGUUUCGAUCUGAAAAAGCCCUGUCAUUGUAUUUUCUUAUGUUGUGCAUACCCAUGUUAGAGGGAGGUGAUGAGCGCUUUGUAAUAUAUUUAACUGCGCCACACUAUUUAAAUGCUUGUUCUCAGUCGGGAGCCUGUUGUUCAAGGGUUUCCAUUGGUUC
rnacentral:lncRNA from 1 species